UCGCAUCUACCGAUUGGAUGGUCCGGUGAAGCCUCGGGAAUGUUGCCAGUGCCUUCACUGGUGUUGGCAGCGUGAACUUGCCUGAACCUUAUCAUUUAGAGGAAGGUG
rnacentral:rRNA from 1 species